GAUGAACGCUGGCGGCGUGCCUAAUACAUGCAAGUAGAACGCUGAAGGAAGGAGCUUGCUCUUUCCGGAUGAGUGGCGAACGGGUGAGUAACGCGUAGGUAACCUGCCUGGGAGCGGGGGAUAACUAUUGGAAACGAAAGCUAAUACCGCAUAACAGGAGAUGUUGCAGGAUAUCUACGUAAAAGGGGCAAUUGCACCACUACCAGAGGGACCUGCGUUGUAUUGGGUAGUUGGUGAGGUAACGGCUCACCAAGGCGACGAUACAUAGCCGACCUGGGAGGGUGCUCGGCCCACAUGGGAAUGGGACACCGCCCAGGCUCCUACCGGGGGCAGCCGUAGGGGAUCUUCGGCCAUAGGCGGAAGUCUGAACGCACCCCGCCGCGUGGGUGGAGGAGGUUUUCGGGUCGUUAAGCUCUGUUGUGUGGGGAGAACGAGUGUGAGAGUGGAACGUUCCCACUGUGACGGUACCUUAACAGAAAGCGCCGGCUAACUACGUG
rnacentral:rRNA from 1 species